UGGGGAAUAUUGGACAAUGGGCGCAAGCCUGAUCCAGCCAUGCCGCGUGUGUGAAGAAGGCCUUCGGGUUGUAAAGCACUUUUGUUGGGGAAGAAAAGCACUGGGUUAAUACCCUGGUGUUCUGACGGUACCCAAAGAAUAAGCACCGGCUAACUUCGUGCCAGCAGCCGCGGUAAUACGAAGGGUGCAAGCGUUACUCGGAAUUACUGGGCGUAAAGCGUGCGUAGGUGGUGAGUUAAGUCUGUCGUGAAAGCCCCGGGCUCAACCUGGGAAUGGCGAUGGAUACUGGCUCGCUAGAGUGCGGUAGAGGAGAGUGGAAUUCCCGGUGUAGCAGUGAAAUGCGUAGAGAUCGGGAGGAACAUCAGUUGCGAAGGCGGCUCUCUGGACCAGCACUGACACUGAGGCACGAAAGCGUGGGGAGCAAACA
rnacentral:rRNA from 1 species